ACACUGAGGUUCAAAUACAGGUUGAUCAUCUGUAGGACCCAGGGUGUCUGUAAAAUGGGGAUGACAAGACCUACACUGUGAGUUCAUUGUGAGGAUCCCAAGGGAGCCAAAGAGUCAGUGUAGUUCCUGAUACUCAGAAACUGUCCCCAAGGGCAGUUGGAGUAGUGGCGCCUUGAGUUCUUGGAAAGCUCUCCCUGGUACCUUACACACACACGGGUCCCCUAUCUGUGGCAUUAGACAGAACUGUCAACUGUCAGUUAUCUUUUCCUGUGCACCUAUCUAUCUCCUAAUGGUCGUGGACCCUCUUGAGGACAGGGCUGGCUCUCACAUGCCUUUCUGCCUUGAAGAGAACUUUCAGGGGAUAUGCUCACUGGGUGGGCUGGCCAGAGGGGUCAUUGGGAGGAUCCUAGGAAGAGUCUGAAUCCCUACAGGGCCUUCUCUGCUCUGCUUCUUCUCGGUCUCACUUCAGAUUCUGACCGCUGGGUGCAGGGAGAGCCCUGACACUAAAAGAUCAUUUCAGAAGCUGCUUUCAGCCCCUCCUCCUAGUCAAAGGUGUGAAGAUGGAUAGCAUGACUAUCCAACCAGACAGAACAUGGGCUUCACUGCCAACUCCUCCACCAGUGAGCUACAGUCUUCUGGCCUCGGCAUCUGAGUUGCAAAAAUGGGAAUAAUAACACUUUCCUCAUAGGACUGCUUCUGGGAUGAAAUGAUAAGGCAGUAGAACCUAUUAAGUGGCACAGGACCUGGCACAUGUUAAGAGACCGAUUCCUGAGGGACAAGUACUGACGUAAGAAGCAGUAACCACCAACACAGUUAGAUGACUGCCGUGGUGAUCACCUCGAUGACCACCUUGAUGCUGGGGGACCCAAAGCCUGCACUGCAGCUGUUUCCAGGCCUGCGACAGAGAGAGAGAUGUGUAUCCAGGGGCAGGGAGCUGAUGACCUGUGUGUUGUGCCGAUGAUGUACAGCAGAUGUGACUGCCUGGACAGUGGUGAGGAGGCCGGCUCCAUGGAAAAAUCCUUGGCAGAGAAGCCCUAGUGCCUUCUGAUGGGAAACCAAACUAAGUGACAGCAGGAUGUGAAGAUGCCCUUUAUCUGCAGAGUGUAAGAGAUUUCCCUUCCUUCUCUUUCUUCCUUCCUUGCUCCCUCCCACCUCUCCUCCAACAUGUAUUUGCUGAGCAAUACAAAGAGGAUCAGAACACAGCAUAGGUCCUUCUUCUUAUAGUUCAUAGUGGAGAGGAGAGGUAAGACACAUGGAUAAGUAACAUUGUUCAUUUGAUUAAAAAAAAAAUCCUCACCCAAGGAUACAUUUAUUGAUUUUAGAGAGAGAGGAGGUGGGCGGGGGGUGGGGGCGGAGAUUAAUCAGUUGCCUUCUGUAUGCAUCCUGACUGGGUACAGACCUGCAACCUAGGUAUGUGUCCUGACAGAGGAAACUGUCGGUGCAUAGGAUGAUGUUCCAACCAACCAAGCCACGCCCGCAAGGGCUAUUUAUUUGAUUUUAAGAUGCACCCUCAAUAUGUCAAUAAUAACAGGUUUUCAGAAGAAAAAAAAUCAGAAACACUACCACACUAAAUGUACACAUUGCUACAAAACAUCUUGAUUUUAAAAACAUUCAAAUGUGAAAAAAAUGUGUUUUUAGAGUGGUCACACUAACCUAUUAGGAUGUAAAAAUGUGGGGAAAAUGUGUCUUUAAAGUAGUGGUUUACAGCAGUGUGAUCAUUGUCACAGCAGGAGUGGGUACAAAGUGCCAUUGGAACCCCCUGGACGAAGCUUGUAAAGCUGCCUGGGGACACCGAUCAGGCUUCAGCAGGAGGUGGUGCUGGAAGGCCGCCUUCUGGGAGAACAGUGGUAGACCAGGGUGGGUAAAGAGGCCAGAAGAGGGGGUUGGGGCAAGGGAGCAGCUUUGGCAGAGGAAGGAGACAAAGAAGAGGGUGAUGCAUUCUGGGAGCAGCUGCUGGUUCUCAUUGUGACUGCUAUUAUCAGCGGAAGGACAGAAGAGACCUUCAGUCUGGAGGGGCUGGGACGAGUUUCAUCAUAAGGACAGCACGGAAGGAGAUGUGGGCUCCCCGGUGCAAUAGGAUGAGGCAUCUCUGCUAAACUUGCUCACAUCUUGAACACUUUGUCUGUUUUCUAUUUACAUAAGGUAUAAACCAAUUGCCUAAUGCAAAAAUGAUGUGUUCUCACAUAGUAAGAAAAUACAACAGAUUUCAAUCAAUAGACUUGGAAUUUUUCAUUAAGUCUGCUUGCCUAUUUCCUUAAACCUUUUCUCCAGGGGAAGAAUACUCUUUUGAAGUGAUUGAUUGUGUUGUCUAUCUUCCCCUCCUCUCCCCACCCUCCCCCAGAACAUGUACCUCUUACAGCUUCUCUCUUCCCCCUCCCCCUCCUCCUCAGUUGUUGUAAAGAAUCUGCUCAGCUGCAACAUUAGGCAUGCCUCAAGGAAUACAUUUUUGUUCAGAUGUGUGUGUGUGUGCAUACACAUGUGAGGUUGUUUCUGAAGUGCAUCCUCACAAAAUAACCUUUGGGUAUUGGUAUGAUGAGGAUGCCAUUAGGAGGAAAUUCAUCUACGUUGGUUCCAGAGGUGGGGGAAGCUACUGCAGUGUUGAAAGAAAGCUCAAUAACCAGUCAGGAGAGUCCUUUCCGGGAAGGCCUGGUGGAAGAUGGACAGGACAGGAUUACUUAGGACAUUCUCCUGUGAUUCUCUUUGUCUCCCAGGGAAUGGCUGUUCUCCUGGGGCAGAGGAGCACCCCCUGGUCCUCUCUACAUUCACUCAAUAGCCUUUGGUGACAGAUGAAUUCCAACAUGUCUGAUUGCUGAGCUAACUGUCCAAGUGUGAAACUUAACUCCUUGUGAGAGCAAAUGGAUUGCAUGGUGAUACAGGUCAUGCACAGUGUGGUGAGCUCUGUGCAAGAGUCCCGUUUUGACUUGUUUUUCCCUUUUUACAUGUCUGUGUUAUGAAGUAAAGUCUUACAUACAUAGUAUGUUAUUCAUACAUUGUUCUUAUCCUGUGAAAUGCCGCACAUUAAAAAAAAAUACCCUUGUGGAAAACAGUGACAAUAUGAGAAAUGAGAACUAUUGUUUCUAGAAAGUCGUGAAGAGUCACAUGAAACAAUAGCUAAAUUCCAGGGAGGACAUGGCUCCUGAGAAGCUGCUGCAAUCCCCAUCUAUACAAAAGCUAAAAGAUGUUAAUAGAGCAAAAACUUUGGCUAAUCAUAAAACCUUCCUUGUUUUACUUGCCAUAAAAUUUAAUGAAUAAUUUAUACUUUAUUUAAUUAACAUACAAAUUAUUCCCUCCUAUGUAGAUUUGUCAAACAAAUUACUUAGGAACCACAAACAAAAUAUUGCAUUUCACAAAAUGUCAGUGGAAAAAAAUAUUUAAUUUUAGCUUUAUUUAUUAUUUAUUUUUUGCAGACCCAAUUUAUCUAGAGCUGGCAAAGAAAAGGAAGGUCUGAUGGAAACUGUAUACCUGGUUUCAUUUACAUUAGUGAAGCAAUGGGACAGAAAAGCUGUAAUGACUUUUCUUUUGCAGAAAAAUUCUUGAGAAUGGCAUUUUGAAGUCAGGAAGACUGAAAGUGUACUUCAGUCUCUCUAUUUAGAAAAUGCAUCUAAAGAAAAUGCAGAGUUUUUUGUGUAUUUAGAAAAGAAAGCUCAAUUUUAAAAAGCAAGGAUACUUCAAAAAUGUGGAUUUGCCAUUUCAUGAAAACCUUUUCUGAAAGUAUCUUUAAAAUUUUCUACCAGGUGCCAAACUAAAAAAGCUUCAUACUACUGGAGAAACUUUACCUGAAGACAUAUAGAUGGGAAAUACUGAGUGGCUGGAAGUGGCUCUUUAGACAAACAGAGUGCUUUCAACAACAGAGGGCAUAUUUUGAAGUUUGGUUAUGGAGAAAUUGGCAGCCUUGCCAUUCCCCUCAGUAAGUAACUUGAAACUACAGAUGUCUUUCAACAUAGACAUGUCCUUGUUCUGUUCAUGAUGACCCUGCUAAUGUCAACAAAGAGGAGUUCUUGUUUUGUGGAUACCUUUGCAAACUGCAAAGACCACCGACAUUUUAGAAAUGGUGUAAAAUUUGUUUUAAAGCUUCAUAUUCUUGCACAGGAGCUCCUGCAAUGCUUGAUUGGGCGUCUGAUGUUAUUGUAGUGCAAAAGGAAGCACUUCAUGAUGUAAUCACUUGCUGCAUUUAAUACAGGCAUAUUCUGGCUUUUCCAAAAAUCCUGAGAGAGAAGUUCUGUCGGCAGCCAUAAAAGUCAUCAACUUUAUCAAAAGCUGGUCUUUGAGUCAUAGUGUUUUUAUAGGUUUUGUCAAGAAAUUGUAGCAGAGCAGUUUGAAUCGUGGUGCGAUGGAGUAGGCGGUGGGGUCUUGCUGGGUGUCUGACUAGCCCUUUUCCUGCCUUGCUUGUUUGAGCUUCAGCAGAA